GAUGCAGCCAUGCCGCGUGUAUGAAGAAGGCCUUCGGGUUGUAAAGUACUUUCAGCAGUGAGGAAGGCGGGUACGUUAAUAGCGUGCUCGUUUGACGUUAGCUGCAGAAGAAGCACCGGCUAACUCCGUGCCAGCAGCCGCGGUAAUACGGAGGGUGCGAGCGUUAAUCGGAAUUACUGGGCGUAAAGCGCAUGCAGGUGGUUUGUUAAGUCAGAUGUGAAAGCCCGGGGCUCAACCUCGGAAUUGCAUUUGAAACUGGCAGACUAGAGUACUGUAGAGGGGGGUAGAAUUUCAGGUGUAGCGGUGAAAUGCGUAGAGAUCUGAAGGAAUACCGGUGGCGAAGGCGGCCCCCUGGACAGAUACUGACACUCAGAUGCGAAAGCGUGGGGAGCAAACAGGAUUAGAUACCCUGGUAGUCCACGCCGUAAACGAUGUCUACUUGGAGGUUGUGGCCUUGAGCCGUGGCUUUCGGAGCUAACGCGUUAAGUAGACCGC
rnacentral:rRNA from 1 species